GUCUGUGGUAUCGAAGCUAGAAUGUUCUCGUUGAAACAUCUACAAGAUGGAUUUCGUGUUCUUUCUUUGUUAAGUUACUUUGAGACGGAGUAUCACUGUUAAGGUCAUGCAGCAUUGACUCGUGUUUCCAAUAAUGUAGACGCAAGUAGAAGGAGCUACAAAAGAAAUGGAAGAAUGUCUUGCGGAGAUUCUCCUGUGGAUACUUGUCACCGCAAAUAAUGGGGAAAUAAUAUUAUAACGACUUGUUGGAAAGAUUCUGGAAGAGGUUUUCUAGAGUGAGUUAUGGUGUGUUCUACGGUUGAUAAUCGCACUAACUGCGAAAUUCACGCUCUUAUCCGCUUUCUUCAGGCUAAAACAAGAAUGCUGAGGAUAUUCAUCGUGAAUUUUGAUCGCCUUACGCCCAAAAUAUGAGUGAAGGAGUUGGUCAAUGUGAAGUCAAUGGUGCGGACUUCUUAAUCUGGAAAAUUCUCCUCCACAAAAAGAGUCUUCCUAAUAUUUUAAACUUGGGUAGUUUUACGACAGCAGGCAAUGCUAAAUAAUUUCUUCUAUGCCUUGCAGUACACCAUUAACUUUAUACAGAACUAAAUAUGCAUCGUGGAAAGUCCAUAAUAAUA